ACAAAUCAUAAUGAACGAAUUAAUGAAAGGGCCAAACAAAAGACGUAUAGAAGACUUUGAAAAUGCCAUUUCCGAUGAUUUAGAGACGCAAAAUUUUCAAAACAUUUUCCGCUCUGUGCCAACCAUGGUGGCGCUUCGUGGGAGUCGGGAACUCUAAGUUUAUCAAGCUGGCUCCCUAAGUGACGGCCAAGUUGUGGUAUCUACAUAAACAUACUAUGCAAGUACUUAACUGAAGGUUCAGUCUAUCUACAGCAUAAUGUAAUGCUGUAUAUCCAAAAAUCUGUUUCAGAAAAUGCAGGGAAUUGCAGUCAUAGGGGUAGAAAAAUACAAAAUUUUCUGGGGAGAAAACCCCAGACCCUCUCCAGGGCCGUAGGGUCAUUCAUUUUUCAAAAUCAUGCAGACCUUUAUUAUUUAAUCCAUGACAAACUGCAAAGAAUGAAGAUAUUACCCAUACUUUCUUGCAACUUAUCCAAUAUAUCGUUAAUUAAAUACACCUUCGUCCAUUUAGUACUACUGAAUUCUAAAUUUCCACAUACUAAAAACGCUGUUUUCUGACAAUCAGAAAUCUGUCAAAUCUUCCCCAAAGUCCAGGAAAUGGCAUUUCAGAAACUCUAAAUUUAAAAAUUUCCUCGGGCCUUCGGCCCUCGCUUUCAGCCCCCCCCCAAACGAAAAGAGCUUCCUACGGCCCUGCUCUCCCCCCCCCCCUACUAUUAAAUGCGAUACCACACCAAACUUUUUGUUACCAACAAACCAUCUAUGAUUGCUCCACACUCGGUAUAGUAUGGUCCCUUUUUGUAGAUGGCCCGCCCACUGACGAAUUCUUAAAAAAUGCCCUGCGAAGGCGAGGCUGAUAACGCUUACCGAGACAUUGAUAAUUUUGCAUAUCGCAAAAACCGAAUUUAAUAAUUGUUUUAUUAUACAUUUGUUUGUGUUCAAUAGAUGUCGCUUGCUAAUCAUCGCAGGCUCGUUUGCAGACAACUCGUUAUUUAACAAUUAUUCGCCGAAGGCGAGGUGAUUAUCGGUGAAUAAAAACCGAGACGAAGUCGAGGUUUUUAUUUACCGAUAAUCACCGAGCCUGAGGUGAAUAAUUGUUUUAGUAUAAUGUCAUAGGUGAUUAUUUGGAAAAAAAUUUAAAAAUGCUCAUUUCUUCGUCUUUCAAUUGACAAACCGGCUUCGGCCGCCAUUUUGAAAAUCGCUUAGGUGAUUAUCGCGUAAUAAUCACCUCAACGGUAACCAAUCAGCGUGGAGAAUUUUCAAUAAUCACCUAUGUAAUUAUACUAAAAUUGAUUAAUAAUACUUGGCUAUCAAUGUCCCCACAGAAUUGUCUUUCAUUGCAACAUCUCCACGAUUAUUAAAACAACGAAAUUAUUUCUUUAGUUGAGCUUAUAAAUCAAAUCUCCUCUGAGAUCAGUAAACCUGGUAUUACUGCACCGCAUUAAGUAGUGCUGUUCGUUUUCGACUUCGUUUAAAUCGCAAUGUUGACAAAUUCGUUCAUCUAUGACCUGAAAUUUAGGGCCGUCGCGAGCAGUCUUCUUUUGGGCGGGUGGCCCAAAAAGCUAUCUUAGGUAUUUGUGGUCCAAAAAGAUAUCUAAGGUUCUGUGGGCCCACAAGUCAGCUCAUUACGCAUUCAGAAUAUAUCACGCAAGGAAAUUGAACUACUAAAGCGAAAAUUUAGCCCCAAACAAAUUUUAAAUCAAAAGCGCUAAAGAAGCGCCUCUUACAGAGAUAUGGACAAAAUUGGACUGAAAUUUGUAUACAUUUACCUCCAAAACGACAAAUUUAAUUAGGUUGAAAAUGUUAAGAAACACAUCUUUAUGCAAACGUAUGGAGAACAUUUGUACAAAUUGAAGUAAAAUUUUAUCCAGACCUCUGUAAGAAGUGCUUCGUAGCAUUUUCCAUUUAAAAUGUGUUGUUUGGAGGCUAAAUUUUUGCUUUUAUAGUAGUUCAAUUUUUCCUUCGUGAUAUAUUUGAAACAAAAAUGUAAACAAAACACGCGCAUGAGCAGAACGGACUUGACAGCCUCUUUUUUUUUCAUAUUCAUUAGAAUUAUAUUAUUCUUUAAUAUUUUGAAUGUUAUUAACUUACUUCGAUUUCUACCUUGUUAAAUCUGUACUUUGCAGUAAUUUAUAUUUAUAAAGUGCUCUUUUAAAUUAUUUUUAAAAUAAACUCUUUCUGGGCUAUAAUAAAAUUUAAGGUAUAUUCACUUUUAUAUUACACAGUUCCAGCAAAUUUUUGUAAAGGGUACUGGU